UACCCGUGGAGGAAGCCACGGCUAACUACGUGCCAGCAGCCGCGGUAAUACGUAGGUGGCAAGCGUUGUCCGGAAUUACUGGGUGUAAAGGGAGCGUAGGCGGGAGAUCAAGUUGGAUGUGUAAUACCGGGGCUUAACCCCGGGGCUGCAUCCAAAACUGGUUUUCUUGAGUGAGGUAGAGGCAGGCGGAAUUCCUAGUGUAGCGGUGAAAUGCGUAGAUAUUAGGAGGAACACCAGUGGCGAAGGCGGCCUGCUGGGCCUUAACUGACGCUGAGGCUCGAAAGCGUGGGGAGCAAACAGGAUUAGAUACCCUGGUAGUCCACGCUGUAAACGAUGAUUACUAGGUGUGGGGGGUCUGACCCCUUCCGUGCCGGAGUUAACACAAUAAGUAAUCCACCUGGGGAGUACGACCGCAAGGUUGAAACU
rnacentral:rRNA from 2 species